GGUUUACCUGUGUGACUGCGUACCUUUUGUAUAAUGGGUCAGCGACUUAUAUUCUGUAGCAAGGUUAACCGUAUAGGGGAGCCGGAGGGAAACCGAGUCUUAAUUGGGCGUUAAGUUGCAGGGUAUAGACCCGAAACCCGGUGAUCUAGCCAUGGGCAGGUUGAAGGUUGGGUAACACUAACUGGAGGACCGAACCGACUAAUGUUGAAAAAUUAGCGGAUGACCUGUGGCUGGGGGUGAAAGGCCAAUCAAACCGGGAGAUAGCUGGUUCUCCCCGAAAGCUAUUUAGGUAGCGCCUCGUGAAUUCAUCUCCGGGGGUAGAGCACUGUUUCGGCUAGGGGGCCAUCCCGGCUUACCAACCCGAUGCAAACUGCGAAUACCGGAGAAUGUUAUCACGGGAGACACACGGCGGGUGCUAACGUCCGUCGUGAAGAGGGAAACAACCCAGACCGCCAGCUAAGGUCCCAAAGUCAUGGUUAAGUGGGAAACGAUGUGGGAAGGCCCAGACAGCCAGGAUGUUGGCUUAGAAGCAGCCAUCAUUUAAAGAAAGCGUAAUAGCUCACUGGUCGAGUCGGCCUGCGCGGAAGAUGUAACGGGGCUAAACCAU
rnacentral:rRNA from 3 species